UACAUAGGUGGCAAGCGUUAUCCGGAAUUAUUGGGCGUAAAGCGUCUGUAGGUGGCUUAUUAAGUCUCGAGUUAAAACCUGGUGCUCAACACCAGUCCGCUUUAGAUACUGAUAGGCUAGAGUGAUGUAGAGGUUAGUGGAAUUCCAUGUGAAGCGGUGGAAUGCGUAGAUAUAUGGAAGAACAUCAAUGGCGAAGGCAACUAACUGGGCAUUAACUGACACUGAGAGACGAAAGCGUGGGGAGCAAACAGG
rnacentral:rRNA from 1 species